AGUGAACGCUGGCGGUAGGCCUAACACAUGCAAGUCGAACGGCAGCACAGUAAGAGCUUGCUCUUACGGGUGGCGAGUGGCGGACGGGUGAGGAAUACAUCGGAAUCUACUUUUUCGUGGGGGAUAACGUAGGGAAACUUACGCUAAUACCGCAUACGACCUACGGGUGAAAGCAGGGGAUCUUCGGACCUUGCGCGAUUGAAUGAGCCGAUGUCGGAUUAGCUAGUUGGCGGGGUAAAGGCCCACCAAGGCGACGAUCCGUAGCUGGUCUGAGAGGAUGAUCAGCCACACUGGAACUGAGACACGGUCCAGACUCCUACGGGAGGCAGCAGUGGGGAAUAUUGGACAAUGGGCGCAAGCCUGAUCCAGCCAUACCGCGUGGGUGAAGAAGGCCUUCGGGUUGUAAAGCCCUUUUGUUGGGAAAGAAAAGCAGCAGGUUAAUACCCCGCUGUUCUGACGGUACCCAAAGAAGAAGCACCGGCGAACUUCGGGC
rnacentral:rRNA from 1 species